AGAACGAACGCUGGCGGCAUGCCUAACACAUGCAAGUCGAACGAGACCUUCGGGUCUAGUGGCGCACGGGUGCGUAACGCGUGGGAAUCUGCCCUUGGGUUCGGGAUAACAGUUGGAAACGACUGCUAAUACCGGAUAAUGACUUCGGUCCAAAGAUUUAUUGCCCAGGGAUGAGCCCGCGUAGGAUUAGCUAGUUGGUGAGGUAAAGGCUCACCAAGGCGACGAUCCUUAGCUGGUCUGAGAGGAUGAUCAGCCACACUGGGACUGAGACACGGCCCAGACUCCUACGGGAGGCAGCAGUGGGGAAUAUUGGACAAUGGGCGAAAGCCUGAUCCAGCAAUGCCGCGUGAGUGAUGAAGGCCGUUAGGUUGUAAAGCUCUUUACCCGGGAUGAUAAUGACAGUACCGGGAGAAAUAACGCCCCGGCUAACUCCGUGCCAGCAGCCGC
rnacentral:rRNA from 1 species